ensembl:lincRNA
ACACGGAGAACAGGAGCACUGGGCUGGGCACAGGAGUGGGGCCUCUACGGACAGUGGUUUCAGCAAGAGAAGCCUCCUCCUGAAGCAGCCCCGGGAGCCGUCCUCUGGGGAAGCAGAUGGUCCAGGAAGCAAGAGGAGGGAACAGAGCCUCCUACACAGCCCCAGUGAGCGCCUGCCAGGCUCUGUGAGGGAGCAGUGCACGAGCAUGCCAUCCUCCUCGGUGACCAGGUCAGAACCCAGGCAUGCCAUGUCUGGGCCCUGGGCAGGCUCCAGUGUUCCACGGUCAGGCUGUCCUCUGGAGCCACUGCCGCCCGGGCCUGAGGGCCCAGGCCUGCCACUUCCUCCUGGCCUGUCUGCCCAGGAGCCAGCACCGGCACCAACAGGCCCAAGGCUGUCUCCUUGGCCAAGCCGAAGCAGCCAGCUCCCUCUUAUCCUCUGCGAGAUCAGCCCAGCCAGUUGGAAGGGGCCGGCAAGCCGUCUGGCUGUCUGAGCCAGGACGGUUGGCGGGUGCUCUGGCCUUCCUCAUUAGCGGGGUCUCCACUGCCCUUCCUCUCGCGGGCCAGGCUGUGGCUCCGAUUAUAGCUACUGGAGGGUUUUUUGGUCAAAGAGCAUCAUGCUUCUAUUUAUUAUUUCACCAUUCACUCAGAUGUUCCCUGAGCACUUCCUAUGCUGCUGCUGGAGCCCAGGGAUCAGCCAAAUAUGACCUCUGGCCCCAGACAGCAGAUCCUCUGUGGAGAGUGAGGAGGUUGCUGGGCUGAAUCAAAGCAGCUCUUAUGCACAGUGGAAGUUGCUACGUGCAAAGAGAUGGGGGGAACCAAGUGCUCUGAGGUGCAGAGGAGGCGGAGACCAUGUCAACAAGGAGAGCUUGCGGUUCUCAGCCCUUCUCCCUGCCAGGCGCUGGGCUGAGCACUUCACAUUGCUGUCUCAUGGAAUCCUAGAGGUAAGCCAUGGGAUAGACACAAUGAUCAUUAGCCCCAUUUACAGAUGAAGAGACUGAAGCUUAGAGUUAAGUGAUCGACAGUGACUACAAUGCCUGGAAUCAUAGCCAGAGGCCCACGUGCCUUGAAGCCCCAUUUCAAAUGUUGCCCUCCUAGUAUCUCCACCCACUCCCCCAGUCCCUGGGGCUGCAGAGCACGCUGGACAGAGCUGGGGACCGGGUGGUGGGCGGGUCUCUGGCUCAAGGUACUUUGUCAUAUUGCAUCUGGGUUUUCCUGUCUCCUAGGUUUGCUGUGGGUUUUAAAGGAACAAGGCCUCCAGUGUGCUCAGCACAGUGACUGGCACAGAAUACACGCUCCAGAAACUUUAGCCAUAGUUAUUUUUGUAGUGAUUGUCACUACUACAGGAAGGUUAUCGGGAGGUGCUUUGCAGAAGAGUGGCAUAGGAAGCUGAUGGUCUGGGCUGAUGCGUCUCUUGCAUCAAUUUUCGCUUUCCUCAUACAUGCAUCCUCUCAGGCUGGAGGCACCAAGCUGUGCACAGCCCAGAGUGUGCUCUGCCAUUUCUGUCUCAGGGUCAGCCCGAGUUCUCCCCAGUACUCACAAUCUGUUCAUUUCAAAAUCAUCUGGGCCCUUAAGAAGUCUAAGAGUCCCUUCUUUUGUGAUUAUCCAACUUUAUUUUUUUAAUUAAAAUUGUAAUAAAAUAUACAGAACCUAGUUACAAGUUACCAUUGUAACCAUUUUUAAGUGUUCAGUUGAGUGGCAUUAAGAAUAUCUACACUGCUAUGCAACCAUCACCACCAUCCAUCUCCAGAACUUUUUUCAAUAUCCUCGACUAAAACUCUGCAUCCAUUAAACAUGAAGUCCCAUUUCUCUUCCCCUGCAGCCCCUGGCAACCCCCAUUCUACUUUCCGUCUCUAUGUAUUUGACUCCUCUGGGUGCCCCAUAUAAACAGAAUCAUACAGUGUUUGUCUUUUUGUGACUGGCUUAUUUCACUUAGCAUGAUGUCCUCAAGGUUUACCCGUGUUGUCACAUGUGUCAGAACUUCCUUGUUUUUGACGCUGAAUAAUAAUCCACUUGAUGGAUGGACCACAUUUGGUUUAUCCUCCAUCUGUCGAUGGCCACCUGGGUUGCUUCCGCCUUUUGGCUAUUGAGAAUAAUGCAUAUAUGUGUAUAUAUAUGUAUAUAUGUACAUAUAUAUACACACACACCAAAUGUACUCAAUAUAUCUACUUCAACAUCCACAACUAUAAUUGGUGGAUCAAAUGGCAAUAUUAUGUUUAGUUUUUUAAUUUUUCUUUUUUCACUGAUACAUAAUAUAUGUACAUAUUUGUGGGGUACAUGUGAUAUUUUGUUACAUGCAUAGAAGGUGAAACAAUCAAUUCAGGGUAUUUAGGCUAUCCAUCACCUUCAGUAUUUAUCAUUUCUGUGCAUUGGGAACAUUUCAAGUCCUCUCUUUUAGCUAUUUUAGAAUAUACAAUACAUUGUUUUAACUGUAGUUAUCCUACUCUGCUAUCAACAUUAGAUCUUAUUUCUUAUUUCUAACUGAAUGUUUGUACCCAUUAACCAGCCUCUCUUUAUCACCCCCUUCCAACAUGCCCUUCCCAGCCUCUCUACCUCCAUGAGGUCAACAUUUUUAUCUCCCAUAUAUGAGUGAGAUCCUGCAAUAUUUGUCUUUCUCUGCCUGGCUUAUCUCACUUAAUAUAAUGACCCC